UACGUAGGGUCCGAGCGUUGUCCGGAAUUACUGGGCGUAAAGAGCUCGUAGGUGGUUUGUCGCGUUGUUCGUGAAAACUCACAGCUCAACUGUGGGCGUGCGGGCGAUACGGGCAGACUUGAGUACUGCAGGGGAGACUGGAAUUCCUGGUGUAGCGGUGGAAUGCGCAGAUAUCAGGAGGAACACCGGUGGCGAAGACGGGUCUCUGGGCAGUAACUGACGCUGAGGAGCGAAAAGCGUGGGGAGCGAACAGG
rnacentral:rRNA from 1 species